GAGCCGAAUCAGAAGUCCAAACUGUGGUGAUCUGUGCGAGAAGAAAUGACAUGCAGAUUCGGACAAGAAGCGGAGGCCAUGAUUUCGAAGGCCUUUCUUACAGUAGCACAUACACUCGUCCUUUUGUCUUGCUUGACAUGAUCAACCUUAAAUCGGUUAUUGCUGACCCCGUGACCAAAACCGCAGUGGUGCAAGCAGGGGCAACUCUGGGCGAGGUCUACUACUGGAUCUAUCGAGCAAGUGGACUGCUCGGCUUUCCUGCCGGGGUUUGGUCCACGGUUGGAGCAACUGGACUCAUUUGUGGUGGAGGGUAUGGUCCAUUGAGACGAAAGUAUGGUUUUGCGGCUGAUAACGUAAUUGAUGCCCGCAUAGUCGAUGUUAAUGGAAAUAUUCUCGACCGAAAAGCUAUGGGCGAAGAUCUUUUUUGGGCGAUUCGAGGUGGUAGUUGUUCUAGCUUCGGUGUCAUUUUGACCUGGAAGCUAAACCUGGUUGAUAUCCCCCCAAAAGUGACCAUUUUCACAGUGCUUCGAGAGGAUCGCCAGACUGAAAUCAUGUAUCCAUUUCAAACCAUUGCUCCGGUUCUUCCAAUUGAAGUGGACAUCAGGUGCCGUAUAAGUACAGUCGUCAACUUUAAUACGAGUACACGACCAGACGGUUUAGCAAUUCAACUAGGCUUUACGGGUGCAUACCUCGGUUCAGCUGAUGACUUAUUCACCAUAUUUAGCACCAGGCUCCCCGAAAUAGGUUUCCUUAGAUCAGACCUUGUGGAAGUUCCUUGGAUCGAGGCUCUCAUGCAAUCCUCAUUUUUCCCGUUAUUCUCCUCCAACUACACUCCCGAGGAUUUCCUCAACCGAUCAUUUUUAGCUGAUAUUCCUACCAAAGCAAAGUCCGACUUUGUAAGAUCACCACUGUCCGUGCCAGCAAUAAAUGGCUUAUGGGACAAGCUUCUUGAGGUUGGAGCAGGGGAGACAACAGUUAUCUUCACACCAUAUGGAGGAGUUCUGGACAAUUAUCCAGAAUCAACCAUUCCAUUUCCCAAUAGAGCUGGAACAUUGUUCAUGAUUUACGCGAGGGUUCUGUGGGUUGGAAACACUACACAAAAGUUGGAAUGGAUUCGCAGCUUACACGAUUACUUGACACCAUAUGUUUCAAGCAACCCUCGAAGAGCCUAUUAUAACUACGAUGAUCUUGAUUUGGGUGCAAACCCUUCUACCGGAAUCAUCAGCAACAUCGCUGCACGUCGUUGGGGGAGCUCGUACUUUAAUCAGAACUUCAACAGGUUGAUUGCAAUAAAAACACUGGUUGAUCCACUCAACUUCUUCAGACACGAGCAGACAGUCCCUCCAUUUUCACUCAUACAAGACAUGUGAUCGAGUCAACUCAUUUUCGUCAUUUGCUUGCUUGUGUUGAAUCUCAAAAUAAUAAAUUGUACUGGCUAGCUACUGGGUGCAUGUCUAGCUAGAUCGUGUAUAUCUUAUUGUGCCGGAUCUUUAUGUUACAGUUAAUGAUCCAUCGCUUUUUAUCCUGGCAAAUUACCAUCAAAUUCCAAUAAUGUGAUUUCUCAUUUCCUCAAAGCUGUAUGCGCAACCCUAAUUUAAAUUUUGGCACACCCAUAGGCCAUGGCUAAGUUUUCGGAUCCAAACUUUUUGCACACGCAAAUUAUUGCACCAUGUUCUCUACUAUUCUACCAAUGUAUAAUUACAACUUCUUCUUCACUUGCCACCCACUUUCAGCAUCACAUUUAUUAUUCCUCACCAUAUCACGGUCUAGAUAUGAAAUUAAAAGCAAUGUCAACGAAUCCCUGCGAUAAGGUUCGUUUACCUGCUCUACUUAAAAGAAAUGGAUUUUCUUGUCGCUACUAAUGUGAUUCCUGCACGGCAAUGAAAUAAUGCAGUAUUAAUUCCAGUUUUCGUUGGGUUAGCUACUGCAUGUGUUUCAGCUUUUAUAUUGCUACUACCAUAAACUAUUGCACAGCUUUUCUACAUUCACUAUUCACAUCAAUGUCUAGCCGGCGGAAAUUCAGUAUACUCUUUCGCAAGAUCAGUUAAUUCAAAGAGAUAGCAAUCUUAUUGAAGAGCAACUAGUCUGAUAAAAAGUAUAGUUUUAUAAUUUGUUUUAAUAAAAUUUAAUUAUUAUAUUUUUUCGCUAAUAAGUAAUUUAAAAUAAUAUAUAAAACUAUAAUAAUAAGUAAAAUUAUACUUUAUAUGAGUUUCAAAAUAUGUGUCGAGCCUCAUUUAUAGAACCUAGAAGUAGGGCUGUAAAUCGAUACGGACUAUCCGGUGUCUCGGCUCAUAUUUGGCUCGAAAAUAUGAUACAUGUUUCAUAUCCGUUUUGAAAACGAUCCAAAUCUGACAAAAAAAAUUAAGCUCAUAUAAUAUAUGAUCUCGGAUACGAGCACACAUAUACCCGCUCAGAUUCGGUCUCAUAUAAUUUUUCAUAAUAUGAUCCUACCCGAAUAACCGAAUAUGAUCCACAGUUCAUAUUUGAUUCAAACUCAUAUACAUAUUAUAUUUUAACACCAUCGUAUUUGCAAGUAAAUAGUCAUCAUUUUAUAAAAUUGGAACAUCUUAUUUAAGUUUAUAUCUUCAUAAAAUAUGAUUUUAUUUAUGUGAUCAUAGUUAUUAUCUUCAUAUAUAUUUAAUAAAUGAUAUAUACCAAAAUAUAACUAUACGUUUUAAUUUAAAAUAAUUAUACUUUAUAAUAUUAUGUUUACUUAGACUAAAUGAUAAUUAUUUGAACAACUAAAAUAAUAAUGAUAUUUGAUGUCAGUGGAUCAUAUCUGGCUCAUGUUCGAUGGAUCAUAAACUACCUGGUUAAAAAAUAAAAAAUACGAUACUGGAUAAUAUCCGGUUCAUAUUCGAUGGAUCAUAAAAUACCCGGUUAAAAAAUUAAAAAUAUGAUACUAGAUCAUAUCCGGUUCAGAUCCGAAUCUCAAAUACCCGGAAUCGGUUUAUAUCCAAAUAAAAUGAUCCCGGACCCAAAUCUGGACAAGCUAAAAAUUAUAUAAUCCGAUACUUGAGCAGAAGGAUACCCGGAUCACUCGGAUCAUUUUACCGCCUUACCUAGAGAGACUGGGAGUAACAUUAAUUAUUAUAUAAUGUAGUAACUAAUUUAAUGAAAUUAUCAUGUUUUUAAAAUACCGACUUGAUUCCUAAUGUCUACCUAUAUUAAGUACAUAUUGUAAGGGGAUUGUGAUUCAGAAUAUCAAUUUUUUUAUAGUUUUAUUUUUUAACCAUACUAAUAAUAUUUAACUUAGUUGAGUAGUUUAUACACUAAUCUAAAUUUAGUGAAAGCAAGGUAUUAUUUAUUUAGAGCAUCUCUAAUCAUAUAUAAUUUUUAUCUAAAAAUUAUUAAUAUAUAUUAUAAAUAAAAAAUAUACAAAUUAUGUAAAAAAAAAAUUAACUCCAGUGGUAAUUCAGUUGGAGAUCUUAUACGAUAGUAAGUAGUAACGUUAGUAACAUUGCUUCUCUCAGUUUCAAAAGAGUAUUUAAGAAAAAUGAAAAAAAUAAUAUUAACUUAAAUCUUAUUUUCUAUUAUCGUAUCUUUUUAACUAGGAUUCGUUUGGUGCUCUCUUGUUGCCCAUUGGAUAUUUAUAUAUAUUAUUAUCUUAACUUUCUUUUGAGAGAAUAUUAUUUUAUCAACUUGAUCUUGAUUCACAUGAUCAUACUUUGUAUUACCAAAAUCUGACUGCUAUCAUCUCAUCCGAACAUCCUCGUAGAAUAUUCGGACGACAAUGUGACUGUUAUAUGUAUACUUGAAAUCUGACUGCUGUAGGUUGAUCAUACAUUCGUACUGGUCUUGCUAUAAAUUAAGGACAUACGCGAUCGAUUGGGCAGGUUACCUAACGCUAUUACGUCGAUUAGUGCCACAAUCAUCGUUGUACUCGGAUUUUAAAAUGGUAUAACUUGUCAAUGUGUGCUAUUUUAUUUCUCUGGUUGAUUUUUAAAACUAAUAUUGGAGGCCACAAGUCAUAUCCUAAUCCUGUUACGGUGUUCGGUGUAACUUUACACCAAGCGCGGGUUGUGUAAUUUCACACCACCACCUUCAUCUCAGCCAGUCGCUGGAAUAUGUUAGUCAGAAUGUGGAACCGUGACGAGAGCGAUAUAUAUAUAUANAUAUAUAUAUAUAUAUAUAGAUACAAUAGAUAGCCGCCCUUGUUUUUCAUUAUUUACUAGGCUAGGUUGGAGUUGGCCGGGCUUAAAAGGUCGGCGGCUGAGUUUACAAGUCAGAAUCACUUAUUCGUACCGUUUAGAUAAAAAGUCAAAAAAUACUUAUAAGAUGUUGAAAAUAAUAGAUUUAGUUUCAUGACUUCUACUUCUUUCACAAACACUUUAAUCAUUUAUAAGGUAUAAGUCUUAACUUUUUUCUAACUUCUACUUCACUUAUUUAUUUUAAAUAAGAAGCAUUUAUUUUAAACUCAUCCAAACAACAUUCGUAUAGUAGGCUCCGUGUUUAGUUGUUUACUCUGCAAGAAAUAGCUAUGCUCCAAAUACUAUUGAUAGUUGUAAAUAUGCAUAACACUACUGAUCUCAAUUCAAUGCUACUGAUCUCAGCUGACAGUCGCUGGAAUCUUGAAUAUGUUAGUUAUAAUGUGGCUUUGAGGACAGCUAUAGCAAACACCAAGCGUGCCCGGCGUUAUGUUGCACCAAGCGCGGUUGAGCAUAGGAUCAACACAGCCGAUCGGCAUAUCGAGUACCCGUAGUCCAGCAAAAGAGUUCAGCAGCAACAGUUUCGUGUUUUAGCAUUGCGUGUAAAUCUGAAAAUGUAUGAUUUGUGUUAUAAUUAUUGGUCGGAGAAAUAUACUUUAUUUUAUUUUGUUUUCACGUUUUUUUUUCUUGGCAAUUAGGGUUUGUUUUUUCUGCCGUUCAACAACUCCAUGUACGGGCUAUCAUUUUUUAAACAUGUCAUAUCACUAUCAGCUGCAUGGACUACAGGAGGUGAGUGACACGCCUGAUAAAAAAGAAAUCAACAAGUCAUCCUAAUUUUUCAGUAAUACAUACAGGGUCAUGUAUGCCAGGAUGAUAGUUGGAUGGAUAUUUAGCUAUCGAGAUUUUAAUAAAUUUUUAAUAUAUUAGAAAAAAUUAAUUGUUGGACUAUUAAAAUAUUUUCUGUCCUCUCAAAUUUUUACACUAUUUUUUUUAGACUCAUCUAAGUUAUAGUUUUAUAAUAUAUAUAUACAUGUGUAUGGGUGGGUGGGCAAUAUGAUGCAUCUUGGUUUAAAUGAAGAUCAUAGAUCGAAUAAAAACUAAAAUUUAAGAGAAAAGACGAUUAUAUUGAAUCUGAUUUUGAAGGAUCUGAAUCAAACUCUGAAUUUUCUUCGGUUCAUUUUUAUUUUCAGUUCAGGAAAAACGCUCGCAACUGUCAGAGCUAUUCUUCUAAAUUCAAAGAUAUGGCUCUUCUAAAUUCAAAGAUAUGGCCUCUGGAAAGAAAAAGAAAAUAAACUAUAUAUGGGCCGUUGACGUGCUUAUACUAACAUUGUAUUUUUGGAUAUCAAACAAAAUUGCCUGUCACACACGUCAUGCACGCUUCAAUUUAAGCAUAUAUUCACUUUCAUAUGGGCUAGGUUUAUCUCGGUGACUUGCUCUUUUGUAUCACCGAAGUCCACUGGACUAGUAAUGCAUUAAAUUAAAUCUAAUAUAGCCAAACGAUUAACAUGUGCGAUACAAAUAGUCGAAAUACCUAGAUUAUUGGUCUUCUCUUCCAGAACGAAACCCUAUAAAUAGCGCAUCUUCCUCGGUUUAAGAAACACACCACCAACUAAGUAAGAAACACGAUCAUGAAGAGUCCUGCAACCUCUUUAGCCCUUUCACUUUUCUGCAUUCUUUUGGCCAUAGCCAUCUCACCUUCUUGUGCAGUAAUAAGCAUCCAGUCUUCUUCUGCAUGGAUUGAUCUUCCUAAUCCUUCUGGCUUUGUAACAUGCGUCAAAUCCAUGUCCCAAUAUGUUUAUACACCUGCUAAUUCGUCAUACAAUGAUAUUUAUGCCUUUUCCGCUCGAAACCCUCGUUUCCUAAUGCCAGAUGCAAAUCGUCUUCUUCCUGCGGUCAUUGUCACUCCUGGAGCCGAAUCGGAAGUCCCGACUGUGGUGAUCUGUGCCAGACAAAAUGACAUGCAGAUUCGGACAAGAAGCGGAGGCCAUGAUUUCGAAGGCCUUUCGUAUAGUAGCACAUACACCCGUCCUUUCGUCUUGCUUGACAUGAUCAACCUUAAAUCGGUUAUUGCUGACCCCGUGACCAAAACCGCAGUGGUGCAAGCAGGGGCAACUCUGGGCGAGGUCUACUACUGGAUCUAUCGAGCAAGUGGACUGCUUGGUUUCCCUGCUGGGGUUUGGUCCACGGUGGGAGCUACUGGACUCAUUUGUGGCGGAGGAUAUGGUCCAUUGAGACGAAAGUAUGGUUUGGCGGCUGAUAACGUAAUCGAUGCCCGCAUAGUCGAUGUUAAUGGAAAUAUUCUCGACCGAAAAGCUAUGGGUGAAGAUCUUUUCUGGGCUAUUAGAGGUGGUAGCUGUUCUAGCUUCGGUGUCAUUUUGAC
rnacentral:lncRNA from 1 species